rnacentral:rRNA from 1 species
GGACGAACGCUGGCGGCGUGCCUAACACAUGCAAGUCGAACGGGGUGAUUUCCUUCGGGAGAUCACUUAGUGGCGAACGGGUGAGUAACGCGUGAGCAACCUGCCUUUCAGAGGGGGACAACAGUUGGAAACGACUGCUAAUACCGCAUAACACAUCGAGGGGGCAUCCCCAUGAUGUCAAAGAUUUAUCGCUGAAAGAUGGGCUCGCGUCUGAUUAGCUAGAUGGCGGGGUAACGGCCCACCAUGGCGACGAUCAGUAGCCGGUCUGGGAGGAUGAACGGCCACAUUGGGACUGAGAUACGGCCCAGACUCCUACGGGAGGCAGCAGUGGGGAAUAUUGGGCAAUGGGGGAAACCCUGACCCAGCAACGCCGCGUGAAGGAAGAAGGCCUUCGGGUUGUAAACUUCUUUUACCAGGGACGAACAAAUGACGGUACCUGGAGAAAAAGCAACGGCUAACUACGUG